rnacentral:lncRNA from 1 species
UGAUGAGCGAUGUUUAUAAAAGAACCCAACAAUCAAACAAGAUGGCUACGAAAGGCAAAACAACAGAACCAAAAACAGAGGAAGAAAGGUAUAACGAAUGAAAAACAAAGAAACAAAACCAGUUUUUUUUCAAUCUAAAUUUUCGGAUAUUGAACUUGUGGGAUCUCUUUUUCUUUUCUUUUUUUCUCCAGCUUGUUUUUGGUUCCU